rnacentral:rRNA from 1 species
GACCCGUAAUCCGGGUUGCGGACAGUGUCUGGUGGGUAGUUUGACUGGGGCGGUCUCCUCCUAAAGCGUAACGGAGGAGCACGAAGGUUAGCUAAUCACGGUCGGACAUCGUGAGGUUAGUGCAAAGGCAUAAGCUAGCUUGACUGCGAGAGUGACGGCUCGAGCAGGUGCGAAAGCAGGUCUUAGUGAUCCGGUGGUUCUGAAUGGAAGGGCCAUCGCUCAACGGAUAAAAGGUACUCCGGGGAUAACAGGCUGAUACCGCCCAAGAGUUCAUAUCGACGGCGGUGUUUGGCACCUCGAUGUCGGCUCAUCACAUCCUGGGGCUGAAGUCGGUCCCAAGGGUAUGGCUGUUCGCCAUUUAAAGUGGUACGCGAGCUGGGUUUAGAACGUCGUGAGACAGUUCGGUCCCUAUCUGCCGUGGGCGCUGGAGAAUUGAGGGGGGCUGCUCCUAGUACGAGAGGACCGGAGUGGACGCAUCACUGGUGUUCGGGUUGUCAUGCCAAUGGCAUUGCCCGGUAGCUAAAUGCGGAAAAGAUAAGCGCUGAAAGCAUCUAAGCGCGAAACUUGCCCCGAGAUGAGUUCUCCCUGACUCCUUGAGAGUCCUGAAGGAACGUUGAAGACUACGACGUUGAUAGGCUGGGUGUGUAAGCGUAGCGAUACGUUGAGCUAACCAGUACUAAUGAUCCGUGAGGCUUAACCUUACAACACCGAAGGUGUUU